CCUACGGGAGGCAGCAGUGGGGAAUUUUCCGCAAUGGGCGAAAGCCUGACGGAGCAAUACCGCGUGAGGGAGGAAGGCUCUUGGGUUGUAAACCUCUUUUUUCAGGGAAGAUAAUGACGGUACCUGAGGAAUAAGCAUCGGCUAACUCCGUGCCAGCAGCCGCGGUAAUACGGAGGAUGCAAGCGUUAUCCGGAAUGAUUGGGCGUAAAGCGUCCGCAGGUGGUUAAGAAAGUCUGCUGUUAAAGAGUGAGGCUUAACCUCAUAAGGGCAGUGGAAACUAAUUGACUAGAGUACGUUCGGGGCAAGGGGAAUUCCCAGUGUAGCGGUGAAAUGCGUAGAGAUUGGGAAGAACACCGGUGGCGAAAGCGCCUUGCUAGGCCGUAACUGACACUGAGGGACGAAAGCUAGGGGAGCGAAUGGGAUUAGAUACCCCAGUAGUCCUAGCCGUAAACGAUGGAUACUAGGCGUUGUCUGUAUCGACCGGACGAGUGCGUACGACGUACGACGUUAACGUACUCCGUCCGUCGGGUAGGUACGCGACGGUAACGUAGUAGAACGUACAAUAGUAGUAGUACGGCGUGAGACGUGUCCGAACGGACGACGACGAGGGAGGUUAGG
rnacentral:rRNA from 1 species